rnacentral:rRNA from 1 species
UACAGAGGGGGCAAGCGUUGUUCGGAAUUACUGGGCGUAAAGGGCGCGUAGGUGGCCCGCUAAGUCGAACGUGGAAUCCCCGAGCUCAACUCGGGAACUGCGUCCGAUACUGGGCGGGCUUGAAUCCGGGAGAGGGAUGCGGAUUCCAGGUGUAGCGGUGAAAUGCGUAGAUAUCGUGAGGAAGACCAGUGGCGAAGGCGGGUCGUCUGGCAGUUCCUGACACUGAG